CUCGUCCACAGGAGCUGAGCUGACAAAGUACUAUGGUGUCCAAUACAAACCAACUUAUCAUGAUAUUUAUCGUUUGUAUAUUCCUUCAACUGCAGGGAAGUACUGGUGCCUCUUACAGCGACAGCGUCUUCCAAACGCCUCCGUUCAUCAUGAAGAGAAGUGGAGAGUCUGUGGACCGGGAGAUCAACUGUUCACACAGCAUACCAAGCUAUGAUCGCAUUCUCUGGUACAAACAAGACCAACAUCAAAAUAUGAAGUUACUGGGAUAUCUGAAUGUGAAGUACCCGUUUCUAGAGGACGACGUGAAAGGAAAAAUCAGCUUUGAUGGAGAUGCCAGUGAACACUCUCAGUCUCGCCUCAGUGUCUCUAGUCUGUCAUCAGAGGACAGCGGUGUGUAUUUCUGUGCAGCCAGUCAGCACAGUGCUGCAGAUUCCCCUCAGCUCAAUACAAGAACUCUCCUCCGUCUGUCAGAGACAACAAGCUGA